rnacentral:rRNA from 1 species
GGAGGGUGCGAGCGUUAAUCGGAAUCACUGGGCGUAAAGCGCGCGUAGGCGGCUUUUCAAGUCAGGGGUGAAAUCCCACGGCCCAACCGUGGAACUGCCUUUGAAACUGUAGAGCUUGAGUGUCGGAGAGGGUGGCGGAAUUCCAGGUGUAGGAGUGAAAUCCGUAGAUAUCUGGAGGAACACCGGUGGCGAAGGCGGCCACCUGGACGACAACUGACGCUGAGGUGCGAAAGCGUGGGUAGCAAAC